rnacentral:rRNA from 1 species
UACGUAGGGUGCGAGCGUUAAUCGGAAUUACUGGGCGGAAAGCGUGCGCAGGCGGUUCGUUGUGUCGGCGGUGAAAGCCCCGGGCUCAACCUGGGAAUGGCGAUGGAAACUGGCGGGCUGGAGUAUGGCAGAGGGGGGUGGAAUUCCGCGUGUAGCAGUGAAAUGCGUAGAGAUGCGGAGGAACACCGAUGGCGAAGGCAGCCCCCUGGGCCAAUACUGACGCUCAGGCACGAAAGCGUGGGGAGCAAACAGG